UCCCCUGUAGCUCAGUUGGCUAGAGCGUCGUAAGUUGCGGUCCAGUAGCACGAAGUGGGAAUUCAGCACACUAACACCCAAAUCAGAGACUGUUAAUCUGAAGGUCGCAAGUUCAAACCUUGCCGGGGGAG
rnacentral:tRNA from 1 species